GUACCCAUGAUUACCUCGCCGAAAGCGGUGGGAACUCCUCGUAAUAGAAGGGUAUUACUAUAAAUUUAUUAUUUUAUUUUCUGUUCUAUCCAACAAUUUCCAACACAUUUCCCAUACCAUGUCAAACAAAAAAUAAUAAUAAAAUUAUUUUCCCUGUGUCAAAUUCCCUAUUCUUAUUUCUAUGCAAAUAUCAUUAAAAAAAAAAACAUUUUCCAAACUCACGAUAACAGUCUGAGUUCCAAACCUCUAUUCUCUCUUUUCAAGUUUUUCUCUUUCAUGUCGCCGCCAGCCGCUGCCCAAGUCCAAGACUUCCAACCUCUUUUGCCCUGUUGGAGUGAUCCACAAGAAACCACCGUUGUUCACUCGCCUACAGCCCUCCAUGAAGGUACGAAGUACAAAUCAUGGCGAGUAGGCGAGUAGAUCAAAGUACAACGUCUGUCGUCGUCGUCGAUUGAAGGGGAACGCUGCCCCGGUGGCACGGGGAAUGACUCAACAUCUCACCCCAUUGAUUCUCAAAUCCAGGUACUUAAUUUCGUUUAAAAUUGAACUUAAAAUAGUCCGUUUCUCAGAAUAUUAGUUACUGGCUAGGGUUCUUCACUUAGUCACUACUUAAUUCCUUGUAAAAUUGAAUUUAAAAUAGGUUUAUUGUUACUUUAUUAAAUGUUGUUAGACUGGUGUAGAAAGUUUAUGAUCAGACUAAACCUAGUUCAUUUGUUAAUUCUAGAUUAAAUCUCUAUUUAUCUUAUCGAUUUUUAGGUUGAUUGUUCAUGAUUUAUGAAUUGAUAUUUUUGUCUUAUGAAUGUUUUUUGUAAAGUUGUUCUAAUCUGUUAUACUUGGUUAAUUGCAAGUUGUAGCUAUUUGCAAAUUGUUGUCUGUUUGGAAAAUUAGGAAAGGAAACUGGAAAAGUUGUGAUAUUAUCACUUAAGAUAUUUUGCCCUUUUUACUCUCAAAUUUUAGAGAUUGCCUUUUUUCCUCUCUCUUCUCUGCUUCGUGUCAUGUUCAAGGAGUGCCAGUAAAAUUGAUAUUUUUGCUAUCAAUGUUUCCAAUCUACCGAGAUGAUGAUCUUUGUGUGGAGUUCUGACACCUGAUUCUUGUAAUCAAUAAGACAUAAUCAAUUUGGGAAAAUUUAUUCCUCCUUUUUUCCUCUGUUUGGACUCUUCAUGAGGACCUCUGACCAUGGCCCUUUAGUUUUCUCUAUCAACUGAUUGAAAUUUAUGAUGAUGGUUUUGUUAGUGGGUUAUAGCUGACUUGUUGUGUUUUUUUUAUCGUCCUUUGCUGCCGCUUCUAUUCUUAUGAUCGCUUGUGUGUUGCCUGCCAAGUUGUUGCCAUUCAUUGUUGCAGUGUUGUUGUUCUUGCUGCUGUCGUAAAGUGUUAUUCUUGCUGCUGUCGUAAAAUGUUGGUCUUGAUGUUGCUUCACUUCUUUUGCGGUGUUGCUUCUGCUUGUCAUUGGUGUUGUUGCCCUUUGUUAUUUCUCACUACUUUGUUCUGCUUCUCCUUUUAGUGUCCUCUCAAGUUCUGGAUUACCAAAGUCAUGUCCGGUUUAUAUAUUAUACUGAGGUAUAUAGUUUUCAAUUCAAAAUUCCGCUUUUGAUUUAUUUUUAGCUUUGGUUAUUUAGGCCCAAAGGAAAGUCUGACUGUAUUGUUAGCCACAGGCCCACAGGUGCUUCCAUUGAUUAAUACUUCAGAGUGGGAUCAUUUUUAAGGCUAAUUGCUGAUAUUUUAUAGAAUUUGAAGGUUGAAUUUAACAAUAUAUUAAGAUUAAGUGAAAGAUUUAAUUUGUCGGCACUUCCUCUUAAUAAGAAUUCACUACAAGUAGCAAGCCAGCUAAUUUUAAGAGAUUGGUUGAUGAUUUGUAACUGAGCAUAAUUCUUUAUAAUAGCAGAUGCUUUUAUUUUUUAGUUAGUUACUAACCCAUCUGGUAUUUUGGUGCUUAAGGUUUUUGUUGAUCUGUGUAUUUUACAAGGUGUGAUCUACAGUUCGAAGACUUUUGGUUUUCUAUUUAGUAUCCAGUAAAGCAGACAUGGAUUAAGAGAUUGGUCUUGCCCAAGCCUGUAAUCAAUAUUUAGAGAAGCUCAACUACACGUUAGGUCAUGCUUGUGCUGUCCACUUACUGCAGGACAUUGUUCAAAGACUUCUGCCUCGAUGCUGAUACGACGCUUGCCACUUUAAGACUUACCAUGGCUGUUUUACCUUGUUUUUUAACUAACAUGAUAUGGCUUAUCUCAGGAUAUCUGGCAUAUCUCAUUCUCACCCUAUUUUUUGAAAUCGUUGGUCUAAAUAGUACUUUCUAUAAGACCUUCUGGAUUAGAGUUGUUGUAUUGUGUUACACACUGAUUAUGUUGGUUGUUGCUGCUGAUUCGUUGGUUACGUUGCUGCUGUCUUACUGUUAUUGAUGUUGUCUACACUGCUGCUGUCCUGCUAUCUACACUGCUGCUAUCUACACUGCUGCUGUCCUGCUGCUGCUGUUCUGCUGAUUACUGCUGUUCUUCUGUUGUUAGGCUGUCAUUCUGUUUUGUUGACUUGGUUUGACUUUUCAGUAAUUUUUGUUUAUGCACCAAUUCUUGGUGUUUUUUUGGUUUAGAUUGAACAACAAUCGGUUCUCUUUUGGUUAAUAAUAUUACUUGGAGUUAGAUAAAUCUUUUGAUUCUUAUGAAAUUUGGUGGUUUA